GACGAACGCUGGCGGCGUGCUUAACACAUGCAAGUCGAACGGAAAGGCCUGUCCUUCCUUGUGUUGGACGGGUACUCGAGUGGCGAACGGGUGAGUAACACGUGAGUGAUCUGCCCCCAACUUGGGUAUAAGCCUGGGAAACUGGGUCUAAUUCCCGAUAGGACUGCAGGGUGGUGCCGAUGGUGGAAAACGAUUUUCUAAUGGUUGGGGAUGAGCUCGCGGCCUAUCAGCUUGUUGGUGGGGUAAUGGCCUACCAAGGCGGCGACGGGUAGCCGGCCUGAGAGGGUGGACGGCCACAUUGGGACUGAGAUACGGCCCAGACUCCUACGGGAGGCAGCAGUGGGGAAUAUUGCACAAUGGGCGGAAGCCUGAUGCAGCGACGCCGCGUGGGGGAUGACGGCCUUCGGGUUGUAAACUCCUUUCGACCGCGAGGAAGCCGCCUGGUUGGAAGGGUGGUGACGGUAGUGGUAGAAGAAGCACCGGCUAACUACGUG
rnacentral:rRNA from 1 species